rnacentral:lncRNA from 1 species
AAAAUUCAAAGAGAAAGCAUAGGUUCAGAUUACCUUUUCCAAGUCCAAGCAUCAAAGAAGGCAAUCCGAUUCUGAGCACCUAAAAGCACUUCCAGGAAGUUUCUUUUUUGAAUCUCUAGAUACCAAUCCGAAACCCUAAAGCUGUGGACAUAAAAGGAGAAGAGAAUCAGAAGGAAAAGAAAAAACGAAAAAAUUAGGAGGCGACCACAAACGAAAAAACCCUAAAAU